rnacentral:rRNA from 1 species
GUGGGGGAUAACCAUUGGAAACGAUGGCUAAUACCGCAUAACGUCUACGGACCAAAGAGGGGGACCUUCGGGCCUCUCGCUUCAGGAUAUGCCCAGGUGGGAUUAGCUAGUUGGUGAGGUAAUGGCUCACCAAGGCGACGAUCCCUAGCUUGGUCUGAGAGGAUGAUCAGCCACACUGGAACUGAGACACGGUCCAGACUCCUACGGGAGGCAGCAGUGGGGAAUAUUGCACAAUGGGCGCAAGCCUGAUGCAGCCAUGCCGCGUGUAUGAAGAAGGCCUUCGGGUUGUAAAGUACUUUCAGUCGUGAGGAAGGC